CGGUGGCGCGGGCGGCGCGGGCGGCGCCGGUGGCACCGGCGGGGCCGGGUUCAACCCCGGCACCAUCGGC
rnacentral:tRNA from 1 species